GACGAACCGUGCGAACGUUGUUCGGAAUCACUGGGCUUAAAGGGCUCGUAGGCGGCCAACUAAGUCGGAUGUGAAAUCCCCAGGCUUAACCUGGGAACUGCAUCCGAUACUGGGAGGCUUGAAUCCGGGAGAGGGAUGCGGAAUUCCAGGUGUAGCGGUGAAAUGCGUAGAUAUCUGGAGGAACACCGGUGGCGAAGGCGGCAUCCUGGACCGGUAUUGACACUGAGGCGCGAAAGCCAGGGGAGCAAACGGG
rnacentral:rRNA from 1 species